rnacentral:rRNA from 1 species
CCCAGACUCCUACGGGAGGCAGCAGUGGGGGAUAUUGCACAAUGGGGGAAACCCUGAUGCAGCGACGCCGCGUGAGUGAAGAAGUAUUUCGGUAUGUAAAGCUCUAUCAGCAGGGAAGAAAAUGACGGUACCUGAUUAAGAAGCCCCGGCUAACUACGUGCCAGCAGCCGCGGUAAUACGUAGGGGGCAAGCGUUAUCCGGAUUUACUGGGUGUAAAGGGAGCGUAGACGGUGAUGCAAGUCAGAAGUGAAAGCCCGGGGCUCAACUCCGGGACUGCUUUUGAAACUGUGUGACUGGAGUGCAGGAGAGGUAAGCGGAAUUCCUGGUGUAGCGGUGAAAUGCGUAGAUAUCAGGAGGAACACCAGUGGCGAAGGCGGCUUACUGGACUGUAACUGACGUUGAGGCUCGAAAGCGUGGGGAGCAAACAGGAUUAGAUACCCGCGUAC